AUUGAACGCUGGCGGCAGUCCUAACACAUGCAAGUCGAACGAUUGGCUGACGGGUGAGUAAUGUCUUGGAAACUGCCCGCUGUAGUGGUAUAACUCCUGGAAACAGUAUCUAAUACCGCAUACCAUCUGAUGUGCCCAUAUGGGAUUAGCUAGUAGGUGGGGUAACUGCUCACCUAGGCGACGAUCCCUAGCUGGUCUGAGAGGAUGACCAGCCACCAUGGAACUGAGACACGUUCCCGACUACUACGGGAGCAAGCAGUGGGGAAUAUUGCACAAUGGGCGAAAGCCGGAUGAAGCCAUGCCGCGUGUAUGAAGAAGGCCUGAGGGUUGUAAAGUACUUGCAGAGAGGAGGCGUUACUCGCAGAAGAAGCACCGGCUAACUCCGGGCCAGCAGCCGCGGUAAUUA
rnacentral:rRNA from 1 species